rnacentral:rRNA from 1 species
CACGUAGGGUGCGAGCGUUGUCCGGAAUUAUUGGGCGUCAAGAGCUCGUAGGCGGUGUGUCGCGUCGGCCGUGAAAACCUGCAGCUUAACUGUGGGCUUGCGGUCGAUACGGGCAUCACUGGAGUUCGGCAGGGGAGACUGGAAUUCCUGGUGUAGCGGUGAAAUGCGCAGAUAUCAGGAGGAACACCGGUGGCGAAGGCGGUUCUCUGGGCAUUACCUGACGCUGAGGAGCGAAAGCGUGGGGAGCGAACAGG